CGCUCUCUGUAAACUAAAAAUAGGGAGUCGUGCCUGCCCAGUGAAAAUUAAACGGCCGCAGUACCCCGACUGUGCUAAGGUAGCAUAAUCAUUUGCCUUUUAAUUGGAGGCUAGAAUGAAUGGCUUGACGAGAACAAAGCUGUCUCUUUUAUAUUAUUUAGAAGUUAAUUUUUAGGUGAAGAAGCCUAGAUUAUUUUAAAAGACGAAAAGACCCUAUCGAACUUUAAAUUAUACUGAUGUUUAGUUUUUAGUAAAAUUAGUUUUUAGUUUUGUUUUUAAUUGGGGCGAUGAAAGAACAUAAAAAGCUUCUUUUUUUUUAUAUAAUUUUUAAAUUAAAAUGAUCCAAAGUUGUUGAAAAAAGAAAAGUUACCGUAGGGAUAACAGCGUAAUUUUUCUGGAGAGUUCAAAUUGAAGGAAGAGUUUGCGACCUCGAUGUUGGAUUAGAAUAUCUAUUUGGUGUAGCAGCUAAAAAUAGAAGGUCUGUUCGACCUUUAAAUUUCU
rnacentral:rRNA from 1 species